UGUGUUUUCUUUUUUGUUUUAUUUUUAUUAAGUACUUUUUUUUUAGUUUUCUUUUCUGUUCGCUUGAGGACAAGCAACGAAUUAAGUGUGAGGGUAUUUGACCUGCCAUGUCGUAGUGGCAAUUUAGGUACUUUUUGACACUUAACGAGCUUAUUUUAGCCAUUUUAGUAUCUUUUAUUUCAUUAUUAGUUCUCUUAGAUUAGAGUUAAAUUAUUGCCAAAUAAAUAUUUUUACGCAACAUUUCAAUUUAGCUGACCUAUUGGGCCAAUAUCGGCCUUAAAAUGGUUUUAAUGAG
rnacentral:lncRNA from 1 species